CCUAGUAGCAUAGCAGUUAAAGCAUAACCUCAUGGCUUUCAGCCAGACAAGGAACCCUUCCACCAGACCAAACUGCUCAAAGCCCCGUCAUAUUUGAGUUCCUUCAACUGCUGUCAGAUUCUGGGGAAAACCUUAUCCCUGGGACAGCUGGGAGUGAUCUCUAAUGGGCUUUGCCGUGAAAGAAUGGGAGAAGCACAACUUUAUCUCAAAAGUGAGACACCUAAAGCUGAUGGAGUCCUCAUGGUCACAUCCCACCAACAGAACAGCAAUCGCAGGAGAAGUCAUGAGCACGAGAAGCCAAACACUGAACGGGGGAGCCAGGAAGUGACCAACGUGGAGAUCAACAGCACCUGAGCCUGUCCACAAGGACGCUGCCCCAUAAGGUACCCCAAAGACAGGUGGUGGCUGAAUUCAGAUCAACUGGCUUAUGGCAACCCCCAGCAAAGAACUAUUUUAGAAGCAAACCUGUACCUAAAAGAGAUGCUACUACUGUUAAGGAUGAGACUUUUAAGUGCUCAGCAGUCAGGAAAAUUCAGAGUUAAGGUUUCCACAGCAACUUGGGCUCUGCCCUCCCAUGCAUUACAAUAGGGGCUUUGGUGCCAUUAUCGCAGGACCCUGGGCAACCCCAGCUACUGUUCAGUAAUCCAUGCAACCAGGGAAGACCGAGCUGGACCACGGAAGGGGCGGGCAGCGAGGAGCAGGCGGCAGCCGGAGACACCACGGCAUCUCCCUAGAAACCAGGAAUGCAGGAGUCGGGAGCAUCCCGAAGGCGCUGAUCCAGCAGCCGGAGCCGCGGAGGGGGCAGCCGCCGGCAGAAAGGGUGUGCUGCUGCUCAUCAGGGAGGUUUCGUGUGGGAAGGGCUGGGGGAAGGAGAAUUUUCCCCUUCCCUCGCGGCCGAAGGGCAGCUCCCCUCCAGCUCGGCACCUGCCCGGAGCCGGGAGCCGAGCGGGGCUGUUCCCACCGGCGCUGCGAGCGCCCAGGGAAAAACCUCCCCGUGGAUCAAAAGGCCGUGCAAGCCCGUUCUCGCCACUCCAGGCAGCUCCGUUUCAGAUAAGGAUGGGUGCUUAGUCGGGCUCCCACCACUUUCUCCCCUUGUCCUGUGAGAACUCGGCUCCUCCAGCAAUGAGCGCACGCAGGGCUCUGCUCCUGCCUUUAAAUCUGGCUGUACAAACUCGCUGUUGUUUACUUAGCCUGUGCUCUUGGGCUAGAAACAGCGAUAAAUCCCCACACCACCCUGCUCCUAAAAGCACAUAAAUCAAAUUGUACUUCUCUUUAUAAUCCCCUUCCCUUUGAGACUGAUUAUUGAUCCUUACAACUGUUGAAGAUUUAUUGCAUUAUAGUGAUCCAUCCUUGAUCACCAGAUAAUCUCCUAAGGGUUUGGGGGCUUUUGCCAUCAGUAGCUCAUGCAAAGCUUCAUAAAUACAUUAAUUUUUUGCUUCUUUUCUGGAAUGGGCCUUCACCAGUGAUCAGGUGCAGACUACAAACAGCCUUCCAUGUCAUGUCAUAUAUGCACUGAACAAUGCUAUUGCAACGCAUAUGCCCAAAGGGGCACGGCUAAAAUGACCAGCCAAGGAUUAUUUCUUUUCAGCUGUGGGUUUGCUUCCUCUUUUCUUGGGUUUUUUCCCCGUUUUCCUUCCCUGUGCUAUGUAAUACAGAAGUGAAAGGUUUUGUUGCCUUGUUUUUAAAGGCAUUCUUUUCCCUGCUCCUUUUUCUGUUCUCGAUGGGUAAUUAUGCCCCUCUCCUCACCGUAGUAUCUAAAUGUCUUCCAGUGGUGCA